AUGCUAAAAAAGAAAAAAAAAUUAUUCGCUAGUUGUGCUUGAAUGCUUUUCAGGAAUUAUUGAUAAUAUUUGAAAAGUUUUCAGAGUAAUGAAAAUUAUAUAUAAUGGGUUCUUGGCGUCUAGAAGAUCGCUCAUGAAGAUCUAGAGCUUUAGGAUGCGUCAGAAGAACGUUCUCACUUUACGAUCGCCGUCUUACGAUUUUAACUUUAUAGCCACAGAGAAUGUCGGAUAAUGGAAGCCAAUUACAAUGUGAACUGUCUAUAGCCGACUCAGAAGUUGAGUUCGAAAUUCAUACCUUAGACAAUCUAUUUUUUAAGUUCCAGUAGUUAGUAUUAUCAAGUUACUAACUCAUUCACGCCACCAGUAUAAGAGAUCUUGCUUUUAACACCGCUUCUUUGUAAAUAUAUCGUUGAAUCUUCACGUCGGUCCUUGAAAAAUCUAUAAAAUUUCGAAUUCACCUCAUCCUGAUUAUCAACAAAAUCGAGUUCAAUAAAUCUGUUAUAAACAUGAAGGUGAAACUAAAAAAAGUGUUUUAAAAUAAUACCACCGAAUAUCUAAAGAGUAUAUGUUUGGAAUCGUUGAUGACAAAGCCAGAUUCUGAGCAACAACUCGUUUCCGACUUCAUACCGCUAAGAAUAUACUUUGUGGCAAAACGUACAAGAAACUAAAUCAUGUCAAGCUGAACGCAGGCAAAGGAUUAGCUCAUAGAGUUGAUCUUGAGAAUGGAGAGAGUGAGAUAUGGAAGCUUGUUAAAGUGGGCCCGAACUAGGGCAUGGAAACUCGCUGGUGCGGGAGAGGAAAAUGGACCGUAGCGUUCUUUCUUGCUAUGUUUUUGUUGUUAUUAAAAAAUACAAAAACCACACCACAAGCAGCCCUUCAAAAAACAUUUAAACAUCAGUAAAAAUUGAAGACAUUCUUGCGAGUACUACAUUACGCCCUAUUAGAGUAAAUACACUUAGAAGACUCCUCUUCAAAAACUCAAGUAAGCUUAAUGUGAAUCUUCAAAUUUCUACACAUGUAUCUGUUGUAAUUUUUCAAGCUGUAGUUGAAGUACCAGGACUUUCAAAAGACAUAUGGAUAGGUUGAGGGGGACCUAUUGAAUAACUACCAAUAUGUCCGUAUUAUGAGGAAACUUGAUGUGCGAAAAAUUUAAGAUCAAACCAACAAUUAUUUAGUUCGACAUUUGGAUCUUGGUCAAACCAAAUACCUGAGUAUGAAAGCCGUUGUGUCGGUGCAUGUAGCAUUAUGUGUUUCCAGUGAUUAUUAUAAAAUAUUUAAAACGAAUAUCAGUGAUUUCCAGAAUUGUCAAAUAGUAUAAGGAAAACAUGAAUAGCAUUCUUUUAAAUGAAUAAAUAAAUUAUUUGAUUACUGGUUUUCAA